GGUGGCUAUGGGGAUUUGGUCAGAGUCCCCUGUUCCAGGGAGUCAGGUGCUCUUGUGAAGGGUGAAACCCGUAUCUUUCUAAUGGCAAAUCAACUCCCUAACUGCAGAAUGUGACUUCAGUAGGAAGGUGAUCAUCUCCAAAACCCUAUUAAGUGAGUGAAGCUACAGAUGUCUUAGGCUAAGAAGAGCAAGUAUCCAGAUUCAAGAAAGCUGAAGAGGAAACUGGGUCAUCAAUAGAGUUCAGCUUCAAGCUCAAUGAAGGACUCCUAGAGGAAAAGCUAUAAAUCUUUGAUCUCUCAUCUCUAUGGCAGUGCUGAUUUCACAGAAGUAACUGUGAUGAAGGAGUCGGGAACUGAAUAUUUUUUCUUCUAGUCUGUGAUACUUGAAGUGUUUCAGGGCACACUUAUAAUUCUGAUGUAUUUUCACUUGUCAUUUCUCACUGAGACAGAAUCUCUCAUUAUUUUCAAUGACAGUACUGCUUAGCAAUACAGGAAGCGUGGAGUAGCCUAUACAGAAAGCUACAGCCCCUCAACAGAUAUCUGCUUACUUUCCUUAGAUACUAUCUCUUCCCAGAAAGGCUUAAACUCUGUUUUUUCUCCAGCCAAUAAUUCCUUAGAAAAGAAAGAAAACAAAGUUUCACAGCUUCUUGAUAAUGAAUUUUCCUGCUAUCCUCUUUGCAAGGAAAUUACCUGAAAGAAAUCUAUGGAAUUUUACCCCUUUUCCCAACAUGGCUGUACCAAUGUUUGGAGUAAGUGAAAGGAAUAAAAUGACCACUUAACUCUUCUUUUGGCAGAGAAAAUGUUGAAGCAAGACAUCCUGCUUAAAAGUGAAAAGCUUCUGUUUCAAGCACAAUAUAGUAGAGCUAAAAAAUCACCAAAACCCUGUGUUAAAGCAAAACUGUUAAUCACUCUUAACUCAUUUAGAAAUAGUCAAGAGGGAGAGAUUAUCUCUCUUCUGCUUGAGUCAGUUUUAAAAUAUAUUAAAAUUUGUGUACUUUUGAGUGGCAGAUGUGGCUUGUCACUUUAAAGGGUAUUUUUGCUAUUGUUAACACUGAAAUAGAUUGUACUUGAGGAACAGUAGUUAAUAGAAGUCUUAAGUACCUCAGAGAAAAUACUUGUCUUGCAUUUAUUAUCUCAGCUUUCAGAUUUAAGCAGCUGUAUAUGGUUAAACUUUGAAAUUAUGUAACAGUAAUAGAAUGCUGUUCAAGUUGAUGCCUUUUAGAAGACAAGGGAGUGGGGGUGUGAUUGUACAGUAAACCCACGUUAAACCCUUUCCUUUACUGUACUUCUUGAGACAGCAAUCAGCUACCCAGAACAGAGCCCAGAACAUGCUCUCUGCAGUUUGCUCUGAAAUCAUAGUGCAUCUUGUAGGGUUUUUUCCAUAAGACACUGAUGUAAGUCUAAGCAUUGAUGUAAUUCAUAUUUAAAUCAGAAUUUCUGAUAGCCUAUGUUGUUUAAUUGUAACCUGUUUCCUGGUAACAUAUUUCUAGAGUAAACAUCUUAUUAUCUGAAAGAAUAUGCAUUUUUAAUUAUCUCAAAACUGAACUGAAUUGUUACAUCUUGUUUUUAUUCUGUAGUUGAGCUGUGUCAUAGGUCACACACUAUUUUCCAAAGUGCAAGUUUCAACAGAUGUUGUGUGAAUGUUAACAAAGGGCACCUUUAAAAAUCAUCUCCCAUACUUUUAGGAUGCCAGUUUAAUGCUUUUCUGCUUGGUAUAAGUGAUGCUGAAGUUAUAAUGCACUUCCAAAGCAAAGAUAGCAAACCAUGUCACUAGAGCAACUCUUUACUGCAAAUGCAGCAAGAAUAAUCCUUUUAUGCUGGCAUAAAGCUAAGGGGACAGGCAGAGGAUAAACUUCUUGUGAGUGGAAUAUUGGUUGUGUAUGGGUUACUCUUCUUUUAUAAUUUCUGAGACAUCUUGGUUCCAAGUUUAAAGAAGACUGUAUAACCAUCUUAAAUGUAACCUUAAUGGAAAUUCUGUUUGUUUCAGAAAUUUUCAAUAAUUUGGACCUGUGUGUUUCAUGUGGAAUAUCUCAGAUGUCUGUAUUUGCAAGUUUUGUCAAGUUGCAUUUUUUGAGGACAAGUAGCAAGAGAUCUAAAAAUACCCAAGUGUAAUUUUUUGAUAGCAGCCUCAGACACAUCUCAAAAAAAAGCAAAAAAAGAAGAAAUCUGAAAAAUAACAGAACAAUUUGUUUCAUGCAGUUGUUGCAAUCAGGAGCUAGUCCAGGUCCAUCACCUCUGCUCUGUAAAAUAGCAGGUGACUGAAGAAUGCAAACUAUCAAGUAUUAGGCCAGAGAGAAUAAUCAUCGCUGACAGAGGAGCAGGCAUUCUGCCCAGGCACUUAUUCCCACUGAGGAGUCUGGGGUCAGCUUGCACAGAGUGAGCUUUCCGUUCUUUAAAUAUGCUUGUGAAACCUCAAACUUGCAGCACAAGAUUCAAGUCUGAGAGUUUUCUCAGUCUCCCUCACAUUCACUGACAUUUUCUAUAAUCACUAAUUUCUUGCUCCUGCUUUGACUC